UACGAAGGGGGCUAGCGUUGCUCGGAAUGACUGGGCGUAAAGGGCGCGUAGGCGGCGCAGUUAGUCAGGCGUGAAAUUCCUGGGCUCAACCUGGGGACUGCGCUUGAUACGGCUGUGCUUGAGGAUGGAAGAGGCUCGCGGAAUUCCCCAGUGUAGAGGUGAAAAUUCGUAGAUAUUGGGGAAGAACACCGGUGGCGAAGGCG
rnacentral:rRNA from 1 species